UUAAAGGCACAACACCACAAUCUGCUCCACUGGUUUUACAUUUUGUGUCUAAUUCGUGCCUGUCUGAACAUUUCAGUACACUAAUGUAUUUCAUGUUUUAUGACACGUAAUGUUAUGUUUGUUCAUUUGUUUUGCUUUGCUUUAUUAUUUAUUAUUACAGGACAUAUUUAUACCUGGCUGUUUUUUCGUUCUUAUACUGUCUUUGGUCUCGAGUUCUGGUCUCGAGUUUUAUUGUCCAGAGUUUGCUCGUCUCAAGAUUCCGUCAUUCCAACCCUGUGGUUUCUCUGUACGUUUUAGGACAUUCUUAGCCUCCUGUUUAGUUUAGCCUUUUCGUUGUUAAGGGAACUUUGCUGUUUUUUCCAUAUUUGGUCUGGGUUCAAGGAUUCCAGGAUUUAUCUUCCCGGAUUUUUCCAAUCGAGUUGCUCUCUCUGAGCUUUAACAUUCCCUUUUUUUGCUUUUGCCUUAAUCUUCUGUGUGUUGUAUUAUUCCUUAUUUUUUGAAGAAAUAAAAGAGAGUUUUUUUGUUAUUCUGCACUUGGGUCCUACUUUGUUAAUUGAGAUCCUCACUGAACCGGUAAUCCAGCGGCUUGGUUUCAACUCCUGACCCCGGCCCUGACAUUUUUAGUAGCUUUAUUUGGUCUAUAUUUGCAUUUUUAUGAAUAAAUAGAUCCAUGUAGUCAACUUUACUUUCUUAUCCAUACCGUUUAUCUACAGCUUGCUUGAUCAGCCACAAUAUGUUUCUGUUCUUGUUGCAUUUCAAAGUAUCAGUUCUUGAAAGCCUUGCCUCGCUGUAGCAAAGGGAGGGAGCAGUCACCCCACCCGACCUUGACCCGGGUCGCCAGGGUACUAAACCUGCACUCUGACUGCAACGCCAAAGAGACAGGGUUAACGGUAUGGCAGUCAGAGCACAGACUCAUCUGUAGUGGCGGCACUCCGUCACACUCACUCUCUCACCUGAUGCCAGCUCAGUUAGAAGCAUGAAAAAGGCGGACACUGCUGGGGCACAUUCAAUCUGAAAAUGGUGUGCACUGACAAAAAGUGUGUUGCCACGGCUUCCGGGUUGAACGACAUUUUUCUUGAAAUGGUGUGCAUCCAGCUUUGCAAGAUAAGAAUAAAAACUUGAAAAAACACGUGUUUAAACUGAUUUCAUCAGGCUCCAAAAUCCUUCAAAAAGAAUGCAAGGACUGGCCUUCUCAGCUGCGCAGCCUUCUUCUGUUUAAGUGAACAUGUUUGCUGUUUUGUCUGUUUGCUGAUUUGUCUGUUUGCUGUUUUGCUGUGUACAGCCCCAGGCAAGGCUACCUUGGUGGUAUUCCAAGUAAGUGGUUUAGUGACAAACCUGGGUAAGUUAACUCAGAAUAGGUGGUAAACCUCCUACUAGAGGAGCCCAAUGCCUUUGUUUUGCUAGGAGAAUGACGCCAUAGGGCUCCUCUAUAAGAGAUAAUAACUUACUCUGAGUUAACUUCCCCAG
ensembl:lncRNA